UCAAGUCGUGUCCUAUGGUUCACCAGAUCAAUGCUUCAUAUUCCUCAGGUUCAUAUUCAUUUCGUAGCGGGCGAGACUCGGAUAGAAAUAGAUCAAUCUGAUAUUACGACCUAAAGCAAGCACCGGUCCUACCCAUACCCAGUAGGACUGCUGUUACACAUCGGCAUAGUGUAGUCGCCUUUACGAGCCAUUUCUUCCGGAUCUCUGUAGCUUUUAUGAAGCUCCCAUGUGGUAAACCACCAUACCCCCGCCCACCUCUCAGUUCUGUUGAACGAGAAGACCCUUAAAUGAUAAUAAGGGGUUAGCUUAAAGAAAUAGGGGUUGUGAGGGCGGCUACGGAACCAUUCGGACUUGAAUGGAUAGGGGGGUUCGGCCCGUGUAUUAUUAAUUCCGGGUUCCCGAUUCAUGCCACUAGGACCAUCUUUCCCAUCGAAACCGAAAAGUGGAAAAGAGAAAGUUUGUUCCCCGUGAACAACAUGCGCAGUUGGCGUGAACAAUAUGCUAAGUUGAGGAAGAGCGAAGCCUGACAGCACUGAGCGCUAAGUUAUUCUAGGAGAGAAUGAUGCAUGUGGUGUAGAUUGGCGACAGAGACCUCAACUGGCUUAAUACUUGACCAAUUGGCGAUGCAAUUGGCAAGUGAGUAAAGAGAGCGUCACAAGCAACACACUCAAAUUUAGUUGGCUUGGCGGAGUAAGCAUUGGCCAUCUCAAGCAGGUGGACGUUACCUUGGUGGAGACAUCGAGGUGAGCUUGGCUAAUGUGAUCCUUUCCGAGUACUUGGCUUGUUUUUUUAGGCUUAACUUAAGAUGUGGUUCCAGAAAUGGAGUUGCUAUUCUCGACUCAGACAAGUUUUCGAAACGAGCUUGCCUGCAUUACCAGUAAGUGGGUCAAUGCUCGUCCUCCGCCGUAAGCGCACGCCUCUUCGACGGCUAUCUAGGCCUAAGGGUAGCUGCUCACAGAGUUCCCACCUCCGCUGACGCCUAGACCGGAACCAUAUCUCUUCCUCUGGCUUGAUUCUUUGCUCUCCAUCCCGAGACCGUGCGAACCCCUUCUCGAGGGAAGAAGCCCUCCUACCUUUGAAUUGGCUAUCCCAAUAGUCCAAUGCUUACUCUUUCUAUAACUGCCUUGAGUUAUCUCCACCCCAGAGUCGAUUAACCCCUUUUGC
rnacentral:lncRNA from 1 species